GAUGAAGAACGCAGCGAAAUGCGAUAAGUAAUGUGAAUUGCAGAAUUCAGUGAAUCAUCGAAUCUUUGAACGCACCUUGCACCCUUUGGCAUUCCGAAGGGUAUGCUCGUUUGAGUGUCAUUGUACUCUCACACUUCUGAUCCUUUGGAUUGGGAGCGGUGGACUUGGGUGUUGCUGCUUUACUGUGGCUCACCUCAAAUGCAUUCGUGCAACUCUUGGUUGGACAUAGUACGGCGUGAUAAGUAUCUUCGCCGGCACCUCGCAAGAGGGUGGCUGAUCAGGAGCUCUGUGCUUUCCAACUGUCUUCAGACAACAACUGACAACUUGACCUCAAAUCGAGUAGGACCCCCCGCUGAACUUAAGCAUAUCAAUAAGCGGAGGA
rnacentral:misc_RNA from 1 species